UCCAGUCAUGUUUUUGUACAUCUCUAAUCUUUAAUGAAUCAGCACCUGAUAAGAAAGCACAGAGAACCCUGCUUUUGUAUGUGUGGUUAACCAGUGCUCUGCAUACAGUAACAGAAGCAAUGCAGCACUGUUAUGAUGUUCCUACCUACAGUACUUUCAAAUCAUAUCAAGUCAUUAUCGUUCAGAGAUUACUAGAAUGAGGGACCGUAAAAUGAGACUUGAUGUCUUAAAAUGAGAAGCUAAAAACUUACAUUUCUAUCAUUUUACAUAUUUUCUAUUUAACACAUUUCUAUUAUGGGUUUGGACUGGAUUGAAUAUAAAUAAAUUGACUACUAUUUUGAACCCAGAGAAGACAACUGGAACAUACAACCAAUGGAUUUUGGAGGGUCAAACUUGCUGCAAAUUUGCUCAAGGCCCGUCUGUAGAGAAACACAUUCUCUUGACAGAAGAAGCUGUGGCUGAUGAGCUGUCAUCUAGUCAAGCUCAGAUUUCCAUCCAAUGUAAAGAGAACUCUGAGGGUCAAGACGGAAUGGUGCUGUUUGACACGAAAGCCUUUCCUGUGGUCAAUAUCCACUGUCCUACCAGUGCAGAAGAUCUUCCUGAAGGUCAAUGGAAACAGCAGUAGAUCUCUGCAGAUCUCCUCAUCGGUUAUUUGGGGAUUUUAGCAUCAGAAAUGCUAUUGUAACUAAAGAGCCUAUGCAUACUGGUGUGGAUUAACCAUUACAGAAACAUACAAAAAAUAUUUUGGUAAUCAUUAUUACUGUGGCACAAACCUAACACUUGGUGCUGGUCUAAUAAAUUUGUUAAGUGUCCCUAAUGUGUUGUUGUGUC